rnacentral:ncRNA from 2 species
GCUUGUUCUCAGGGCGGGGUGCAAUUCCCCACCGGCGGUGACAGCCCGCGAGCGCCUUUCGCAAUCGGAAGGGACAGCAGAUCCGGUGGAACUCCGGGGCCGACGGUUAAAGUCCGGAUGGAAGAGAACGGGA